AAGAAUCAACAAUAUAUAUAUAUUUGUGGUGAGGCCUUCAAGCUCCGGACCAGAGAUGAUUUCACUAUGAGGGUACUUCCUCAGCUCGGGUCUCACAGCCUGUACAGUUUUGAUCAGAUGAUGGCACCUCGAGGGGUUGAGAUCCUUGGCAUUGUAGAUCCCUUGUAAGUUUUCAACUUCAUUUUAUUUAUUGUGCUUGUCAAGGUGCAAUUUUGAUUGUGAGAGAAGCCAAUUCAGUCAAUCACAUUUUCCAGGAAGCUACCAAGGACAAAAGAAAAAACAAAAACAACACCCCAAAAUAAAGUAGAUCUGUAUUCAUUGAAUUUUAAAUCUCACUAGGCCGAUAUUUGUCCUUAUCAUGUGUUAGGGUUAAAGUUAGAAUGAAAGGCAAAGGGCUUUUCAACUACCAUCUAAUCAGGUGUAAUACAAAGGAGAUUGCAAUUCAAAGAUAGUGAAGGAAGUUACGAAUGCUGAAAUAUGUAUUCAGUUUUGUUGAAUCUUAUUUUUUCGAAGGGUGAUUGUAUGCUGUAUUGUUUCAGACUUUAUCUGACCUUUUGGGUAUGUAUGUUGACCCUGUCCCCUGUUUUGUCUUUUUUCUUUUCCCAGUGAUACAUCCUCUUGUACACGGAAUUUAGUUAUAAAAAAGAUGAUUCAGUGUGAUGGGUGCUUUUCUAAUAAAAAUUAAAUGGAGUUUUCGUGUGGCAUCAAAAUUAAAAGGUCUAAUCGAUAAAUUGUCC
rnacentral:lncRNA from 1 species